UACGUAGGGUGCGAGCGUUGUCCGGAAUUAUUGGGCGUAAAGAGCUCGUAGGCGGUGUGUCGCGUCGGUCGUGAAAACUUGGGGCUUAACCCUGAGCUUGCGGUCGAUACGGGCAUCACUGGAGUUCGGCAGGGGAGACUGGAAUUCCUGGUGUAGCGGUGAAAUGCGUAGAUAUCUGGAGGAACACCGGUGGCGAAGGCGGCAUCCUGGACCGGCAUUGACGCUGAGGCGCGAAAACUAGGGGAGCAAACGGG
rnacentral:rRNA from 1 species